rnacentral:rRNA from 1 species
AGAGUUUGAUCCUGGCUCAGGAUGAACGCUAGCUACAGGCUUAACACAUGCAAGUCGAGGGGAAACGAUAUUGGAAGCUUGCUUCCGAUAGGCGUCGACCGGCGCACGGGUGAGUAACGCGUAUCCAACCUGCCCACCACUUGGGGAUAACCUUGCGAAAGUAAGACUAAUACCCAAUGACGUCUCUAGAAGACAUCUGAAAGGGAUUAAAGAUUUAUCGGUGAUGGAUGGGGAUGCGUCUGAUUAGCUUGUUGGCGGGGUAACGGCCCACCAAGGCGACGAUCAGUAGGGGUUCUGAGAGGAAGGUCCCCCACAUUGGAACUGAGACACGGUCCAAACUCCUACGGGAGGCAGCAGUGAGGAAUAUUGGUCAAUGGACGAGAGUCUGAACCAGCCAAGUAGCGUGCAGGAAGACGGCCCUAUGGGUUGUAAACUGCUUUUAUAAGGGAAUAAAGUGAGUCUCGUGAGACUUUUUGCAUGUACCUUAUGAAUAAGGACCGGCUAAUUCCGUGCCAGCAGCCGCGGUAAUACGGAAGGUCCGGGCGUUAUCCGGAUUUAUUGGGUUUAAAGGGAGCGUAGGCCGGAGAUUAAGCGUGUUGUGAAAUGUAGACGCUCAACGUCUGCACUGCAGCGCGAACUGGUUUCCUUGAGUACGCACAAAGUGGGCGGAAUUCGUGGUGUAGCGGUGAAAUGCUUAGAUAUCACGAAGAACUCCGAUUGCGAAGGCAGCUCACUGGAGCGCAACUGACGCUGAAGCUCGAAAGUGCGGGUAUCGAACAGGAUUAGAUACCCUGGUAGUCCGCACGGUAAACGAUGGAUGCCCGCUGUUGGUCUGAACAGGUCAGCGGCCAAGCGAAAGCAUUAAGCAUCCCACCUGGGGAGUACGCCGGCAACGGUGAAACUCAAAGGAAUUGACGGGGGCCCGCACAAGCGGAGGAACAUGUGGUUUAA